GGAUGGCUAAGCACCAGACCGAGGGCGUGGGCCUGGUGACCAGGUCUGGGGGUGGGAACAUCAGGGCAUAAAUCCUGACCCAGCUGACAGUGCCCCAGGGCAGACACAGAAGUCCUACUGUCACCUUCCUGUCCCCACCCUUCCUGGCAUGUUUCACAGGGUCAGCGGUGCUGGGUGGGGAGGACAAGCACAUAAACCUUGGCCCCAGCCAGGUCAGCCUUGAGCUUCCGACCUGAUAAAUGGAGAAGAGGACGAGGCCUGGCCCUGCACUAACCUUUAGGGCCAAGAAAGAGUGAGUCACAGAGGACCAAGCUGCAGAGGGGAUAUCCAGGGGCCUGAGUGGAAGCCACAGCCAAGCCCCAUCCAGGAGCAUGCAGAGAGGGACCUGGGUAGCAGCUACCUCAGGUGUUGGGGUGGGGUGUCCAGCUCACGGGCCCAGCCUGGGCCUCCUAACCCCAAAUGCAGCCACCACCACCCCCAGCCUGCUCCUCCCUUCAACUCUGGCUCCAGCCUGGACAUUGGACAAACUCUGAUUGCUACCUGAGCAGCUGGAAAGGACCCAGCCCUUCUCUCAAGCAGUUCAUGAGGACGGGGGACAGGUCCUGGAAGCUGCUGUGGGACGCGGCCCUCGGACCCGGCCACCUGCCUCGCCGCGGCCCGGACUGGCCCACACUAGCCCGCACCGGCCCGCACCGGUCCCCACCGCGUCUCAGCUGUCGGCUCCUGCGCAGCCGUCCGCAGUUCCGCAUGCCACCGCCAGGUGUCGCUGCACACACGCCGUGGACCAGAGACUCCUCUGCAACCCGCUCCGCGAGGCUCUAGGGGCACCCAGGGUCCUGUUGCCCGCAGCCCGCAACUUAUCUGUGCACGGAGCACCCCCUCGCUGCACUAUGAACUUACGCUGCUCCCCCAACACCUCACUCUUUGGUGCCUUUGAGCAUGCUGCCUGCAGUGCCUUCCCUGAUCUCCAACUGGGUAAUUCCUGCUGCACGUCAAAACCCACUGGAGGCAACACCUCCUCCAGGAAGCCUUCCGUGAUGCCACUAUAGUGGCCCCUCUUGAGUUUCCACAGCCCCCUGUGGCUACCUCAUCAUUGCAGUGACUGUCAGCAUGGUUGUGUCUGUUUCUGUGUCUGACUCCCCACUAGAAUGUGAGCUUUGGGAGUAUGGGGAGGGCCACACAGUGGGCUGUUCUGUUUUGUUUUUUAAGUAGACUUAAUUUUUUAGAACAGUUUUAGGUUCACAGGAAAAUUGAGCAGAAAGUACAGAGAGUUCCCAUACACCCCCUGCCCCUACACGUGCACAACCUCCCCUCUAUCAACAUCCCC
ensembl:lncRNA